GAGAGGAGAAGGCGUGACACUCAGGGGUGCAGAGACAGGAGCGGGCGCCCCACGCCCCUACCCCAGCCUCUGGGGACUGAGUGCCGUUGGGUGGAGAGGUCGGAGCUGACUCUCUGGAGAAAUGGCCGAAGACGCCCCUUCCCAUCCCCAACCCACUCUCCCUUGGAGAAGAGAAGGGGCGUGUUUCCACCUCGCUGUAACCCAGCGCCAAACCCUUCCCCUCCCCGCAAGGCGCGUAACGGUUCCUGCAAUCUGGGGACAACGCUGCGGGCAUCGAGGCGGUGGCGCUUGAUUUCCUUUAAAGUACCUACCACGCCACCCGCUACCUGUAAUAAUCCAUCUGAAGAGGUCGCCGGGCAGCGCCUCGGCAGACAGACUGACCUGCGGGGAGGUGCGGUUUCCAGUGGCGCGGGACAGCCGGCUCCGAGAAGGAACUGGGACCUUUGCCUAGGGCAAGACGUCAACAGGAACCCGCAGGCCCGGCCUGGACACCUGCUGCCCUCACUGGAAGCUUUAACUCCCACUCGAGUCUCUUGGCGUCGUCAGUGCCAGGAGCGCUUGGAUUGGGAUGGGGACGGAGAAGGGUGCCUCGCUCGCCGAGCCCCGCUGCCCUUGGGGACCUGGCAAAGUCGAGGUUUCCUCACAGCGUUGAGAUUGAGACUGGGGGUCGGCAGCACUGAGAAGUGAAGGAAUAUUUGGGAGGAUCAGAAGCUUGGUCCUGAUUUUGCCAUCAACAGGAACUUGAUGACUUCAAGGGAGUCCCCAAACCCUGGGUUUCUGUUUUCUCAACUCUAACAUGAGGGGCUAGAUGCAUCUGGUUUAGUUAGUCUCCAUGAUGGUUUAGUUCGUCUCCAUGAUCCUGUGAAUUUCAGAUGUUGAAAAUCUUCGGAAAAGCCCUGAAAGAUGAACAGUGGUCUCAAAUAGUCAAGACCCCCUGCUGGGAGGAGCUUCUAUCCUGCUCUGUGGAAGAAAUGGGCAUGCCAGAUGCCUGGAAGAUCAGAGGCUCACAUUCCAGCUGUAGGUGGCCCACCAGGUGUCAACAACUGUAGAGUUCCAUCAAGAGUCAUCAUUUUACAGUUACAAGUCGGAGGGGCCUUCACAGAUCCGUCAGGCUCAACACUGCCUCCUUAGUGAGCCUGUGAACCACCCAAGACGGCUGGUCAUCAGUGUCAUCCUCUUCCUUUUCCGGACAACUAUCUUUAAAAGAAAAAAAAAGAGUGUCUUUGAAUGUAUCCAUUUUAUCCCCAAAUAAUCUUGUUUAAUAAAUUCCUUAUUAGGCCAAAUCCAAUGUGCUGAAAUAUCUGCCAAGCAUGUCAUUCUACACAAAAGGGAUUUGCAAAUAGCCAGUAGUUGGCGUGAAGAAAGGACAUGUGAAAGCGCUGGGUGUGGAAUUUCCCAUCCUCGGCCGGAGGUCUACUACAGCUCGCUGUUUGCAGAUCUGGGCUGAGCUAUGCAUCACAUUGUUCAUGAAAGAAAAAGCAACUGCUCUCCCCAGUGCCCCUUCCCCGCUCCACAUGGCUGCGAUCAGCAGCCCCAAGACCCUAAUUGCCACAGCCUAUUAGAAAUAAUGAGACUUACAUGGCAGAAGCCAAGGGUAAAAGCGACAUCUCGCAACACGAAAGGUUAAUAUCAACAUAUACAGCUAGUGAGUGCAAAGGGCACCUCAGUUGGUGGCUCAUUAUGGCGGGCUGACCCAUAGGGAAAGUGUCAUUCUGCAGAGAGGCCUUUCUCAGGAUGUGGCAGCAAAAGUUACAAAAGAUAAGGACUUGCCUGUGAAACGCACUCAACUAAUGAGAGCUGAAGAUUGUUUGAAAUAUCCCGAUGACCUCACAGAUGGGGGAUGCUGAUUAAGAUGGCUACAGGAGGCUCCUUUCUUGUCUGACAGCCCAUUGAGAAGCUUUGGUGAGAUGUGACUAACAGGCCGUGAAGGUGUCUCCAUCUUCUCUGACAUGGUCCAUGCUUUGGGCAAAACAAACAUGAAAAAUAAGUCUGAACUGACACACAUGUUUGAAUUUAGUUUUCAGAGCCAUAUUUGGGGGAAGGAGCACUGGUGGGGCCGUCAGCGAUGAUUCCUUUAUGGUAAAGGGUGUUCGUGACUACUUGCGUGACUAAUCGCAUGACUGCGCUGGGGGGUGAGCCAACGGCAAAUUGAGGUCUUGAACACUUGACAAAACAACCCCUGUUCUGUGGGUGAAAUUCUAUAGAGCUUCAUGCGUAAUUAAAUGAAAGUUUCACAAGAGUCUACACCUCAAUCAUUUAAUGCCGAUAUGUAGCACAAAGGAAGGAUUUUUGCCACAUCAAAAUACAUCCAUGAAACAAUGGAGAAAUGUCCCAAGUUUUCAGAGUCAGAGAUACUCACAGAAGAAACCCUGGAGUUCUCUUGACCUUCAUUUAGUGCCUGGGACUCUGA
rnacentral:lncRNA from 1 species